UAAACGCGAUCGCAACGUGGAUUGAACAUUUAAGAACUUGUUAUUCUAAUCUGUGGAUUCUAUAAAAUAUACAGAACUCGCAUUGCAAUUUCGGAAAUAUAUACACAUGUAAUAAUCAUGAAGAAAAAAUAAAUCUGGGAAAACUGUUUUACUGGGAUAAUUAUACAAUAAUCAGACGUUUCCGUUUGCGAUCGCGAGCGUUAUCUGCCACAUCGACGAACUCUGAAACAAACUUUACAAAGGAAUUUUACAAGGCGGUACCUCUAUCUGCGGCGAAAUUACAGCGAAACUCCGCAGACUUUUGGUCUCUCACAUCGGGACGAACGAAGAAAGGGAUGGCAAGAUUUGCGGAGGACGAAAGCAGCACAGCACUCGAUGCAAAUCGAAACAAAGUAUUACCACUUGACGAAAUUCACUUGGACUCUUGGCCACGCACAAAGAAAAUGUCGUGAAUACUCGCUCGACGACAACGGGGCCACUAUGUCUCUUUCGAUUUCAGUUCUCUCUUCGAUACUAUCGUUCCAAGGCGCACAAUUUUGUACUCGAUAUGUCGCAGGCAACACAACUAUGUUACAUUUCGCUUUUGUUUCUUAGAACGGUACGACAAUUUCGAAUAGCUCGCUUGAUCGGGAUCAACUCGAAAGUUAAUUCGUGACUUUAAAACUGCUUCUCCCUGAAUGUUCACAACCACAAAGAACACUAACAUCACCAACGGCCGUCUCUUUUCUCACGGGCGAUAAUUUAACGAACUAGAGAUACGACGGCUUUUCUUCCGUUCCUUCGACAUCAGGGAGAUAAUUAUUAGCUAGCACAAGUACACUCUCGAAAUCUUUUACGGAUCUAUACUCGACGUUUCCGAUUGUUCUCGGAUUGUCAUUGCUAAAACGAUAAAUCACAACAGCACUAUAUAUUGCACGAGAAACUUCACUUUAACUUUAACAUGAGGCAAAACCCAAACUCUAUACCGAGUACAAAACUCUUCGGAAUCGAGAGCAGUCUAAUCAUUAUUAUUUCCUGUCUCCACAUGCAUACGUACAUUUUAAUUGAGAAGAGCCGCGAUCACGCCGAUCUCUUGUACCGGUUUCGCGUUGAACAAACGUCUGAUUUUCUUUUUAUUUAUCGACGACCUUAAUUUGUAUUCAAUCGAGUCUUAUACUUUGAAUUUUAAACUCUUCUCAGACAUCGCGAGCAACAAAUAUUUACUGUGGAAUGUGCAUCACUGUAACAUUACCGAGAUUCCAUGUUCUCUCGACUUUUGGUAGGUGAUGAACGGUUCUAAGAAAAUUGACACAAUAUUUUGAGAUUUUUCUCUGCAUAAACUGCAUCUAUUUUUCUGUUCGAACACUAAGCGUACUUAACCACUUCACCUUCAAUCGUGUUCAAGUACGGAAGAGAUCCUUCUCUACUCCUUCCAGAAUGAAUAUUAAAAUAUAUAUCCUGGACAUAGUUGAAGUGCUCUCCGUACUCGAACACGGAACACAAUCACUUCGUCGUUUACAUCACUAUACACAUGUCGAGAGUUUAUCUUUCUUUUCUCGUCUGUUUUAUUUUUUAUUUUACUUUUUUUUUUAAUACCACCAAGCACUGUCCUUUGAAUGAUCAGUUCCUCACUUAAACAGAAAGUGGAUAGCAAGCUUCUGUCGAGAUUACGAAAACACAGAUGUGAUAAACUCGGUUUUACGAUAAACGGAAUCUCAGUUUCUUCCUGGAUCUUAUUCAUUUUUCAAUCACUACCUUCACUCUCAAGCACAGUUUAAACUUUUGAAACUGAUCAAAACUAUUCACGGAUUUCUUACAGCACAAUCACUUAAGUAUUAUGUCACACAAAAGAAAUCUACAGAAAUACAAGUUGAAAAGUAGUCAAUCUUACAAUCA